rnacentral:rRNA from 1 species
UACGUAGGGGGCAAGCGUUAUCCGGAUUUACUGGGUGUAAAGGGAGCGUAGGUGGCAAGGCAAGUCAGAUGUGAAAACCCGGGGCUCAACCCCGGGACUGCAUUUGAAACUGUCUAGCUAGAGUGCAGGAGAGGUAAGUGGAAUUCCUAGUGUAGCGGUGAAAUGCAUAGAUAUUAGGAGGAACACCAGUGGCGAAGGCGGCUUACUGGACUGUAACUGACACUGAGGCUCGAAAGCGUGGGGAGCAAACAGG